rfam:Clostridium sp. BL8 Contig06, whole genome shotgun sequence.
GUUUUGAAGAAGAAACUGCCGUUUCUCACCUUACAGUUAUGCUAGUAAGGUUAAAGAUAAUUUGUUAAAAAGUAACAAUAGGACGGCGUUUGUCGUCCUUUUUAUUUUAU